rnacentral:rRNA from 1 species
GUAGUCGAUGGGUGACAGGUUAAUAUUCCUGUACUUAGUAAUGAUCGUUUGACUUGAGGAGUGACGGAGAAAGGUAGUGCAGCUUCCUGUUGGAUGGGAGUUUAAGCGUGUAGGGGGGUUGCUUAGGAAAAUCCGGGCGACUGUUAACUCUGAGGCGUGAUGACGUAAGUGUGUGAUCCUCGGCUUCCUAGAAAAGCUUCGUAAGGAGAUUGUUAUUAAUCCGUACCGUAAACCGACACAGGUAGAUGGGAUGAGAAUUCUAAGGCGCUUGGGAAAAAUCUAGUUAAGGAACUCUGCAAAUUGGUGGCGUAACUUAGGGAUAAGCCACGCCCUUUAUUGUGAUGGUACUUGCUACUUGAGCGAUGGAGGGCCGCAGUGAAAAGGGGGUAGCGACUGUUUAUCAAAAACAUAGGUCUCUGCGAACACGUAAGUGGAAGUAUAGGGACUGACGCCUGCCCGGUGCUGGAAGGUUAAGAGGAGGGGUUAACGUAAGUGAAGCUCUGAAUUGAAGCCCCAGUAAACGGCGGCCGUAACUAUAACGGUCCUAAGGUAGCGAAAUUCCUAGUCGGGUAAGUUCCGACCUGCACGAAUGGCGUAACGACUUCCCCACUGUCUCAACUAGAUACCCAGUGAAAUUGGAGUGCGCGUGAAGAUACGCGCUACCCGCAGAAGGACGAAAAGACCCCGUGAACCUUUACUGUAGCUUGGCAUUGGUUUUUGAAUUGUAAUGCGUAGGAUAGGUGGGAGACGUUGAGGCAUGCGUUCUGGCGUAUGCUUAGUCAUCCUUGAAAUACCACCCUUUGCAAUUUGAGACCCUAACCUACUGUCGUGAUCCGGCAGGGGGACAAUGUCUGGUGGGCAGUUUGACUGGGGCGGUCGCCUCCUAAAGAGUAACGGAGGCGCGCAAAGGUUCCCUCACGCCGUAUGGAAAUCGGCCGUAGAGUGUAAGUGCAUAAGGGAGCUUGACUGCGAGACAGACAAGUCGAGCAGGAACGAAAGUUGGCGCUAGUGAUCCGGUGGUUCCGAGUGGAAGGGCCAUCGCUCAACGGAUAAAAGGUACUCCGGGGAUAACAGGCUGAUCUCCCCCAAGAGUUCACAUCGACGGGGAGGUUUGGCACCUCGAUGUCGGCUCAUCGCAUCCUGGGGCUGGAGCAGGUCCCAAGGGUUUGACUGUUCGUCAAUUAAAGC